rnacentral:rRNA from 1 species
GACAGAGGGUGCAAACGUUGUUCGGAAUUAUUGGGCGUAAAGCGCGCGUAGGCGGUUACUUAAGUCGGAUGUGAAAGCCCUCGGCUUAACUGAGGAAGUGCACCCGAAACUGAGUAGCUAGAGUACGAAAGAGGGUCGCGGAAUUCCCGGUGUAGAGGUGAAAUUCGUAGAUAUCGGGAGGAACACCGGUGGCGAAGGCGGCGACCUGGGUCGAGACUGACGCUGAGGCGCGAAAGCGUGGGGAGCAAACAGG